AUACGGAGGGUGCAAGCGUUACUCGGAAUCACUGGGCGUAAAGCGCGCGCAGGCGGCUUGAUAAGUUGGAUGUGAAAGCCUACGGCUCAACCGUAGAACUGCAUCCAAAACUGUCAGGCUAGAGUGUGGGAGAGGAAGAUGGAAUUAGUUGUGUAGGGGUAAAAUCCGUAGAGAUAACUAGGAAUACCAAAAGCGAAGGCGAUCUUCUGGAACAGUACUGACGCUGAGGCGCGAAAGCGUGGGGAGCAAACAGGAUUAGAUACCCCAGUAGUCC
rnacentral:rRNA from 1 species